rnacentral:tRNA from 1 species
GGAGGUAUAGCUCAGUGGUAGAGUACAUGCUUAGCAUACACAAGGUCCUGGGUUCAAUCCCCAGUACCUCCA